AUCCUUAUGUAGUUCUUACAUGUGCUGAUCAGGUGUUUACACGUAUGUGUGAGAUGCGUCACCCUUGGACCUUGUUACGGCAUCAGCACAUUACCCGUCUACA
ensembl:snoRNA